CGUCGACCCCACGCCACGCAGAGGUGAAGAUACGCAGGACGUCCUCUAAAGCAACUUCCGUGGGUGCCAGGUUGUGGGCUGGGGGCGGUGCUGACCUUGAGAGAGCGGAGGAGGCGCAGGCGCAGCACAGUUUAAACUUGAUUUUGUGAGGGGACGAACAGCGUGACAAUUAAAAGAAGAUCUGGGAAUCAAAAGCUUCCUGAGGCCUUCACCAGAAGCAGAUGCUGGUGCCGUGCUUCUACAGCCUGCAGAACUAAGAGAAGACAUGGAGAAGAGGAGGGAGUAGUUGUGACCGUGGAGGCAGAGAAUGGAGUAAUGUGAUCAUAAAUCAAGGAAUGCUGACAGCCACUAAAGCUGGAGAAGGCCAAGGACAGAUAUUCAAUCCUCCCGUAGAAGUACAGCCCUGCUAAUGCAUUGAUUUUGGACUUCUGGCCUCAGAACUGUCUGGAAAGCAUGGAAAUUUGUAUCUUCAUUCACUUUUGUUUUCAUGGACUCUUUUCAUGUUUGAACUUUUCAUGGUAUGAGCUGUUUUAUAAUCUAU
rnacentral:lncRNA from 1 species